rnacentral:rRNA from 1 species
UACGUAGGGUGCGAGCGUUAAUCGGAAUUACUGGGCGUAAAGCGUGCGCAGGCGGUUAUGUAAGACAGUUGUGAAAUCCCCGGGCUCAACCUGGGAAUUGCAUCUGUGACUGCAUAGCUAGAGUACGGUAGAGGGGGAUGGAAUUCCGCGUGUAGCAGUGAAAUGCGUAGAUAUGCGGAGGAACACCGAUGGCGAAGGCAAUCCCCUGGACCUGUACUGACGCUCAUGCACGAAAGCGUGGGGAGCAACAGG